UGUUGGUGUAAGUAAAAAUGGCCGAGCCCUCACUUUGUCUUUUACAUUGUCUUUUUGGUGUUUCAUUAAUGUUAAUGAUAUAACUAGCGUGGAUUGUUAUUUUGUUAGUGCAGUUUCAAUGGAAGGGAAAAAUCGAAGUUGGCGGCUUCUAAUCUUGAUGGACUCAUCGAUCAUUAUUGAAAUGAAUCGUUUACUAGGAAAAUGUCAUGUGGAGCGCAUUGGGAUGACUCCAUUUAUGUGGUGUUUGAAUAUUCAUAGCCCUGUGGAGGUGAAUUUGAAAUUAUUGAAGGUUAUGGUUUGUAGGUGGGCCGGGCAUGAUAAUAGUUUUAGAGUAAGUCAACAGUUGGUGCCCUUUUCAGUUAUUAAUGUGUUCAUGAGCAUAGGUUUAGAAAUAGGUGGUUUAGAGAUUCAGUUUGAUGAAGUAGUUGUUGGAUUGGUUGGUGAAAUGUUCAAAUCAAAAACCAUCACUUUGAAGGACCUGACGGACAUGUUUAAUGUCAUUGUGCAUGAUAAUAACAUUGAUGUUGAUGUAGUAUGUAGGUUAUAUAUAUAUUAGUUUGUUUGGUUGUUUUUUAUUUUCCUAGGAAAUCAAGGCAUGUUUGUAACAUGCCAUUUGCAGUGUUAGAUGACUUAGACAAUUUGUGUCUAUACGAUUGGUGCACAGGUGUACAUAAACAUAUUGUACAGAAUUUAAAUAAAUGUAAGAAGAAAAUUAUGAGAGGAGGUAUCGCGCAAUCACUCACUCUUAGUGGCAAUGUGGCGGUGUUGCAGGCUUGGGCAGUUGAAAGACUUUCUUGCAUGGUCAUGCUUCACACAGGUUUUUCCCGCGCAUAAUGCGAUGGUUCCCGUAUAAUUCAAGGACCGAAAAAAUUGAACAUAUUUU